CUUGUGGCAGCGGGUGGCAGCAUAGGCAGUGCUCUCCAGGACCUGCUUGGGCAUAAAGACUGUGCUGAAGAGCUGGGGAAGCAAAGCGCUGUAUUUGGCAUGUGUUUGGAUUUAAUUUUUCAGUGCUACUCAUCAGGAGGAUGCUGUAAGAAACACUAAAUCCCUUUUUGAAUAGACAGCUUCCAUUGGUAUUCAACUUGUUCUCUCCCUUUCUCCUCCUUACUGCCUAACCCAUCAAACCUGCUAGCUGCUUCACUAAGUACACUAAGCAAUGGCAAAGGAUCUCGAGGCACACAAGGAAAACCAGUCAUGUAAUCUCCUUGCUCUAAUAUAGCAAAUAGCCAGCAUAUUUACUGAAUGUAAAGGGGUAUAAAAAGGGGUUGUGUGUUCCACUGCAGCAUCUCUCAAGAUGCAGAUACAGAUACUCUCUAAGCUUAAAUAGGACUAAACCCAGACUCCAAUUCUUCAAGUGCAUCAGCAAACACUGGUUUUGUUUUUGCUGAUGCUUAUCUUACACCAAAUAAUGUAAUAUGGAAUAAACCAAAACAGUUUACCUGCAUUUCAGGCUUCUCACGUAAUGCUGAUUCACUAGACAUCAUAUAAGGGCUGCAGUUAGUACCCAACAAACACUUCUCUUUUGGGGUCAGAGUGGUUCAGCUACCUUGCUAAUUCACAUUGUCCUGUUAUCACCCAAUGUCAAACUUCCUCUGCUUGUUUGCUUUACAAUUGCUCAUCCCUUGGGAAAACUGCGGGGGAAGAGUCAGGGCAUGUGGAACAGAGAGCAGCAAUUUCACUGAGAAAUAAUAGUAACCAAAAUGAACUGAUUAUCACUGCAAAUGAGACAAGCAAGAUUCCCAGUUGCAUUAUCUCCAAAUUGCUACCUGCCUGUUGCUGUGCCUGUGAUUAGCUGGGUUCAGCACCCCAUCCUUUUCCUGCUCAUUAAUUUCAGCAGCAAUUCCAGUGAGUGUAACAGGAGCAGAUUGUGUCUGUUUGCUAAAAUGCUGUAAAGGUGCCUGGAUGGUGCACUCAAGCCAGAAAGACACUGAAAUCGCUUUGAGGUGUCUGUUCCUGGGGCUUCACAGCAGACUAGCUACUGGUCUGCAUGCAAGGGACCUGGUGUGCCUGGGCACCAUGUGAGGAUGCUGCACCUCCCUCCGGUCCCCUCCUGCACACCAGGUGACUUCCUUCUCUUUGCUUUUUCUUAACUCACAGGUUAAAGUAAGGUACCUGAACUGCUCAUACAGGAUCACCCAGUGAUUUAGGCUGCAGAGGAUCUUUGGAGGUCUCUAAUCCAACCUCCUUCUCUGGAGCAGGGUCAGUUUCAGAGUUAGGUGAGGUUGCUCAGAGCCUGGACCAGCAUAUUUGAGUGUCCCCAGGGUUGGAGGUCCCACAACCUCUCUGGGUCCCGGUUCCAACAUUUAACCAUUCACAUGAGGAAAAUUUCUACCCUUUGCACUCUGACUGACACUCCUUUACCAGCCAUUGCGCUGUUGCCCCAGCCCUUGCAACCAUGGGAUGAGGUGGGCUCUGUCACACAGCUGAGCAUUGCCUGGAUGUGAUCUUCCCACAGCAGCUCCCCCAGACCAGUUGUGCUUUACAAGGCUUCUUGUACCAUGAUCUGGCCACUGAAUUUAGUGUGCAGUUGUGCUACUGCUCACUCAGACAAAGCACUGAACAGGUGAAAAAGCUCCUCUAUUGACAGUGGCCCAAUAUUUCUUUCUGCAGCAAAAUAGGAGAAGGUUGGGUUUCACAUAACAUGGGAAUUGAGCUCUUGGACAGCAUUAUUACGUCCCUGCUGUCAGCACAUCCACCCUGGCUUUCCAGCCCCCAAGGGGAGAGAGCAAUCCCAGCAUUUACCAUGUCAGAUCCUACCCUGCUGUCAGCCUGGGUGGCUGAAAACCUCACCCUGAAACUGUUCUUUCUGGAAGCACUUUUGCUUGCAGUGUUUCCUGCAGAGCACACUGUGCGCUGUACCUUUCCCUCAGCAGUAGGCUGACAUGAUGAGCAUCUCCUUCCCAAUAAUAUUUCGUUUGAAGAUCCUGAAGGAAAAUAAUUGCUCAUGCUCCCCAUCAGAAAACCAAACAAUUACAGUGGUGAGUGAUAUUGUAGCAGUGCCUAUAAUUAAGGAACUGCCAGCAUUUUAAUUAUAAACUAAUAACUUCAGUGGCUGACAAUCCAGCUGUACAGCAGAGCCAUUAAAAGCAAGAUUGCCAGUUCUAGAGUUAUAGACCAGCAAUUAAAGUUUUAAGGAGCCUUUUUGUACUUCUUGCUUAUUAAGAUGUGUUCCUUGCCUAUUAAGGGCUUUGGGGAAAUUUCAGUGAAGUCCUUACAUCAAUGAAUAGUGGGUUUUCUUUUAACUUUCAACGAUUCCUCUGUCACAGUAUGGGGUGAGGACAUCCUGAGGAGAGCAAGUAUCUCACCAGGCUUUCUGCAAUCACACUGAAGCUGACAUAGGUGCUGCUUUAACGUGUUCCACCUUCCAAGCACUGGGACAGUUAUUGCUCAGUAUCACCAAGGAGCUUUGCUGAAGUCUGUUUAGAAGGUGCUUUAAGUACCAGUGGGGAUUUAUUCAAUUAUUACUUAAAUUUUUUUAAAAAAUAGAUUUUAAACAAUAAAAUUUCAUUAAGCAUUAAGAGGUUAAGAACUCACUACUUUACAAUAUUAAAAACAUUAAAAAUGAGAUGAAGCUUGUCCCUUCUCCAGCUUCUGAGCCAUUGCAGAACCAGGCUGAGGUUCAACUUCCCUUUUUCCUUCAUUCAGGAAUUCAAAGCAUUCAAAUGCUGCAGACAUGGAGUUCCCCCGGACUGCCUGCCCCUGCAAUGGUUCACACAUUCCAAGCCUGUGCUCAUCCCACAGCCAAGCAGGUCAAGAGGAGAGAGCAGCUGGCAGCACACAGCCAAGUGGCAACCAGUGAGCAUACAAGUACCUGUAAGCUCAUAUAGCCCUGUGCAUACAGGUACCAGACACACCAGCAUCACCUACUCAGUGAGUUUCCUGCUGAAAACUUCCCUACCCUGCAGCAGCCAUUGCACAUCCCAGGACUGCGAUGGAAACACUCCUGGUAAAUGCUGCUGUUAGGUCAAGCCACUUCAAACCAAGCGCAGGGUGAGGAACAGGGUCACAGAAAUGACAAACGCUGAUCUAGGGAUGUCUGCACAGACAGAUGUUACCUGCCAGCAAGGCAGGAGUGUGCUGAGACCCAGGCUGUGCCUGGCUUACGCAGCCAGCCCUGCUCUCAGUGCAAUGGGGACAAAGCCCCAGCCAGGGCAUGGACCUUCCUCACCUCCCUGCCUUUUCCAUCAUGGGUCUCCAGUGAGGACCAGUGUACAGGCUUUUCACUCAUCCCCUGCCUGGGGACACACAGGGAUGCUCAGCCGUUGCACAGAGACAUUCACUACCCAGGAAAUCACCCGCACUGUGAUGCGUCUCUGAGAACAUAUUUCCAACCUUCAGGCCUGCCUCAAGGGAAAGGUCCCUGCAGAGCUCAGAAGAAGCAACACUUGGGAAUAAAAGCUUGCUGAUCAAGACACACCAUGUCUUAAUUACACAGAGCCAGUAUUCCCAGCACUUCCUUUGCAGAAGCAGAUACUGAUGCUUGGCCUCAUGUGAUUCUGAAUGCCACAAAUACACUUAUUUGUUUCCAUUACUUAUGUUUUGCAUAUUUUUCUAAACCUCAGAUUAUUAAGCACAGUUUUCUGUGCUGGAAAGCUCAAAUAUCACAACAUGCAGGGGUAUGCCUCAAAGCUUCUAGCAGGCACUAGUGACAUCUAAGCUAUGCUAAAAUACUUCUUUGUCCACCUCUUUAAACCUUAUGAAUGACGAUUUGACACCUUUUCCAUAAGCUUUUGAAGAGCUGUGCUAAAGGAGGGAGGAUUAACCUUAGGGCAGGGCAUAAGCAGAGAUAGAAAUUGGGGUUUGUUCAGCACUCAGACUAUCACUUCUCAUUCCAGAGCUAGUUAUGCGAGAUGUUAAUUUGAACUGGCAGCAGAUUUUGCAUAAAGACAUCUCAGAACACUAGCCAGCCCCAGCAUUUGCCAUGGGUUUUAGUUCUCGUGUUAUUAAAACCUUUUAAUGAAGUUUUCCAGGAUAGAUCUUACUUCAAGCUUUGCUGCUGUGACAUUCAAUGCUAGUUGAGCAUAUACACACUCCAAAGGGUAAAGAGAGGGUAUUUUAUUACUAUUAAGUGUCCUGUAAUUGGCCUUAACUUCUUCACAUUAUAGGACACUGAGAAACACUGGGGUUAUGUCUAUAGGAUUCGCAGCAUCCCUCCUUUCCUUGUAUGUGACAGGACUGCCUAGAGCUUUUAUGCAGGAGCAAAAUAUUUACUGUUGAUACUGGAACCAUUUCUAUGACAUCUUCUUUCAGUCUAGAAUGUAUUUAUUUUAUCCUCUCUUUAUAAUGAUAGUUCCACCAAAGUGGUUACCAUGCUUCAGAGAAUCUACCUUCCACGGCUUGCAUUUCCCUUCUGAAACCAGAGACAGCUGCUGAAAACAGCUUAUAUCCAUUUCUUUUUUCUAACUGGAAAAAAACCUCUUAAACCCUGAAGUUGCAUCUUUAGAAGACUGACGGCAAACCCUGAAUUCAUUUACUUGUUCAGCACAACUUGCUCUUGAGGUGUCACACGGUUCUUUAUCUACUUGCUCCCAGCUCUUUGUUCAAGCCUCCUAUUUCAUAUUUUAAAACCAAAAAUGAUCAAAACAUACCCUGUGAAAGGACUCUUUUUUUCCCCUCUGCUUGCCUCUCUUCUCUUUGCACAGGGAUGCCUUACAAACCCGCCCUUGCCCACCUUCUCUCCACUUGCUCCUUGGCAGUGUUGGGAGCAGAGCUCCUCUGUAGCAUCACUUCCCACCCAGGAUGGGGGAGAUCCUCAGCUGAUUCACCCACUGUGGUCUAAUGGGUUCCUGUACUUGCUGGGAAGUGACCCAUAGUCCUGAGUGUAAAAGAGGAGCAGAAAACAGGAGAAAGAUUGCUGUCUAAUUAUAGGUAGUACUUCUACACACAGGCACAAGAUGUUAAUGUCAGGGAAGCUCAUUUAUGUCCUGUGUCUUCCGUUACUUAUUCUGCAUUCUUCUUAGGAUACAGGAGAGAGCAACUCCUACAUACAAUUUAUAUAUAUCUGUAGAUGUGUGAGAGAUUCUUAAUAAAAAGAGGAUGACAGUUGCCACAGGAAAUUAUGAAUACAUGCAUAUGUACACACUCGAACACACACCCGGAGCCUUUGAGACUCUUCCAUUUCUUGAAGGAAAUACUUUUAAAGAAGCGUGAUGCCCCUCUUGCUUGAACCAAGAGCUCAGCAGCAAAGAAGGGGGUGAAUACGCACCCAAGCCUUCCUCAUAAGCUCUGAUCUAAGAGAACAUGUCACUUUGUGAUGUGGGCAUGUGAAUAAGUCAUCUUCAUGUAAGCCACAGCACAGCUGCUCUAGUAAAUAUGCAUUUACCUUUCUGUUACUGCAGGGUGGGACAUACGGAGGGGUAACUGCUUCACAUGGCAAUUGUGAGCGUCAGCUUUCCUCUACAGGAGGGAAGAGUGGGGUUUCAUUUCUACUCCACUCUAAAUGCAGCAACCAAAGAAAUGAGGCAGCUUCACCUGAGAUUCAGACACUGACGAAAGGCAGUAAGACUCAAGCUUGUUUUCCUCCAAAACUCCUGUAAUUGCUACAGUAAUAAUCAGUUUAGUGAAGGAUAGUUCAAUCAAUCUGGCCCUGGGAAAACAUUAUGUAAUAAUAGUUUUGUACAAGCUUCAGCCUCGUGUCUUUAUUAAAAACCUACAUCAAAGCCCAUGCCUAGUCCAGUCUAUUCAUGCUACCACUCUCAUUUGAAACAUGCUCAUACACCAAAGAAUCCUGAUGGAUUGGAGCCCUAGGAGGUAAACCGGCAGAUUGAGGAGGUUAAAUGUAUUUCUUUACUAAUGGGACUGAUGCUGUUCAAAGCUCCCAUAAAAAUUCAGUGUGAAGAGCUUCCUAAGCUCAGGGGGUUUAUAGCCUUCAUGAUCAUUCAACCUUUAAGCAGAUACAAAGACAUUUUUUCUCUGCCUCUCUCUGAAUAUAUCCAUCUCCUCAGGAACAAGAGAAAGACUUUUAAAGAGAACUUGAUAAAAUUCCUGAGACAGCUCAUUAAUUCUAGUCUCUUCAGCAGUGACUUCCCCACCAAUUGUGGCACUCAAAGAGGUUAUGGAUUGCCUUAGUAAGAGCGAAUCCUGUUCAUUAGCCAUUUCCCUGCACUUGCAUAUUAAUAUUGUCUGGCCUUUUUAAAUAUAGAAACCUAUUUUCUUCUAACCCAUCUUUAACAGGCAUUUUGUUUCCUAAGGGUAGCCACAAAAUAAUUGAUACUGAGUUAUCCCACCACUAAAAAGUUUGUGAAAUUCCCCAAGUGGCCUCCUGUUGCUGCUGGGGAGCUGGGGCAUGCUGCUGGUUUGCUCUAUAGAUGUAGCGAUUGUACCACUGUUGUGAUGGGCAAUUUAGGAUCUUUUGCCCUGCACACCCUCUUCUCCACUUUGUGAAGACACGAUUUAGACAGUAGAACUUUUAUCUCUGUUACACAUGUGCAGAGAAACCGUGGCUGCCCCAUCCCUGGCAGUGUUCAAGGUCAGGUUGGAUGGGGCUUGGAGUAACCUGCUCUAGUGGAAGGUGUCCUUGCCCAUGGCAAGGGGUUGGAACUGGAUGAGUGUUAAGGUCUCUUCCAACCUAAACCAUUCUAUGAUUCUAUUAUAAACAGAAUUCAGUGGUGAGAAUAGGAGAUAAUAACCACAGACAGUGCAAGUUGUAGGUGUGAAGGACUCUGCAGCAGUCCUUUAUCCUGUCCACAGCUCGGAUUCACACAGCACUACCCAAAUGAGUAUCACUGAAACUCUCAAGUAACUCAAAAGCAGAAAGACUUGGAAGCAGCAGGAGGUAACUUGCUGCCAAAGAAAUCUUUAUUCUGCAGGGUAAAGGGAAUUCUGUCAAUUUAUUUGACUAAAAUGAGAGCUGUUUGAAAUCUCUCAACUGUGUUUUAUUGAAUGAGGUUUUUCAUGUAAACAGAACUUUUGAAGGACCUUGGGGAGAGGAGGUGUAUUGAAGAAAAUAUUGCUUCCUUGGCAAAAGAAAGCUUAAAACUUUGGAGGUUUCUAUGAAAAUGAGGUCUCUUGUGCUGUUAACUACAUACCCUGAAAUAAGAAAAGGGAUUUUCAUCUUUUUUUAUCAGCUUCCAAGAUUAAUAGCUUUACAAGAAUCUAAUCCUUUUGGAAAUCCAGCACAAAUACUUCCCUUUUGCAUCUUGCAAUAGCAAACUAUUCAGCCAAAGUAGAUACACAAAAACCUAGCAACUAAUUUGUGCCCAUUUGGUCAUUCUGAUGAGGCUGCAGUAAAAGAACUGGGAACUGGAAAAAUUACAAGGGAACUCCCAAAUACUAAGUGGCAGCCAAAACCUCCCCCUGGUACUGACAAUGUACCAUCAGUAAGGAGUGGUUCAAACCCAUGGCUGCUGCUCAGCUUCUGGCUGUUGGUGUGGCAAUAUUCAUUGUAAUGAGGAGUUUCUGAUGAGCUGUUUAUAGCACAAGCCUGGGUACGGAUCAUUUUCUGAGAAUAACUUCAGUGAAAGAAAUAAAAACCACUAUCUGCUGCAGCUUUUUGACAACUUGUAAUUAUGGUUGGAGCUGCAGUCAAGUGAUUUCAGACAGGAGAGCAGGUAAUUUCCCAGAGUUACCCACUGGAGCAGCACCCUCCCUAUCAGGUCACUCACGGAGAAGAGAAAGCUCCCACCAUCCAAGUUCCUGCAGGAGCUUGAGUACAUACAAGAGUAUGUGCAGGAGGGGGAAAUGUGUUUUUUUUUUAUCCUUUAAGGAAAAAAAAAACACCUUCAAUUUUUCUACCCUUUACAGUCUAUAGUUAUUUUCUUGAUGCUAAAAAUACACCAAAAAACUCAGCUCUCAAGUGUUCCUGCACAGCACUGAAGCCCUCCAUCCCCAUGCGUCUGCUGCUGUGUGUUGGAGCUCCAGUUGUGAGCACCACACUUCAGUAUUUAAUUCUGCACUGAGUGACCUCCACUAUUUUCAUACUGACUGGACACACAAUAUAACCAUGACAAAAGUCCUUUUCCUGCUCUUUUAGCAACUGACUUGCUUCCCAUCCUCAGUACCUGUGCUGUAUGUUUGAUUCACUCCAGUUCAAAUCCCAUCUAGCGUGGUUCUCCAUGUUUUCAGGAGCUGGCCCCUUGUGAGGAAGUACAGUUAAAUUCAGCAUCCUUUAAAUCAUUGCUGACUUUAGCAACGGUACAGGUGAACCUACUCCCAACAAAUUUCACUCUACUUUGAUGCAAGACCAACAUAAAUAAGAUCAGAAAUGUGAUUCAUCACUUUUAGAAGCCACUUUGCUGUGUUUUUCAAGAGUCAUGAUGCUCUCUCAGCUGAAUUUUACCAAGAAAUCGAUUAUCUACUAGCAAUUGCAUUUAUCAAGACAGGUUUCCAGUGAUGUAAAUCAUUGUCACUUUGCUGAAGCUGGUAGCGCCAAGCACAAGCUGGGCAAGUAGCCUACCUCUUAUUAGGAUGAAUGGCAAUAUAUGAUACUUGUUCAGCUGACAGACCUUUAUGGAGAAUAAUUAUGGAGACUGCAAGAAUAUCAGUUACUUUGGCAUGUUAAUAGUUUCUCUUUAAUUAGAUAUACGGGCACAGAAGUGAUUGCAAAUAAUUCAGUUGUUGCUGAGCUAAUGUGUCUUUAUCAGGACAGGUCCCCAGAUGUACUUUGUUCUGCACCAAAGAGCAGUCCAUCAAGUAUGGGAAGCUCUUCAAGCGAGACCAAGGCUGGAAACACCAUCUGUGAAGUAAAACUGAGCCCAAGUGUUUUGUUUGCCACAAACUACCCUAUUCGUGGUGGUGUCUAGCCAGACCCAAGCCCACCCCUAGCUGGAAGCAAAGUGGAUGCGGUACCAAGCAGCUGGUGUUAUUUGGGUUUACAUGGGAUACAGCAGGGAAAGGAGAAGAGGUAUGCUGGGGAGGAUGAGCCCCUAUCAGGCC